rnacentral:rRNA from 1 species
UCCCUUAGAUGUUCUGGGCGGCCCGCGCACUACAAUGGCGCUUUCAGCGAGUUCCUAUGUUGAAUUUUCCUGGGUAUUCUUGGAAGCGGCGUCUUGACUUGGGAUAGAUCCUUGUAAUUGUUGGUUUUGAACGAGGAAUUCCUUGUAAUCGCGGUUGAUCAGCUCGCGUUGAAUACGUCCCUGCCCUUUGUACACACCGCCCGUCGCUCCUACCGAUGAAUCGUCCGGUGAAGUUCACAGAGUGGCGGUUCGUGGAGUUGCUCGCGAAGUGAAAUGGACCUCACGAUUUAGAGGAAGGAGAAGUCGUAACA